rnacentral:rRNA from 1 species
UAGCGAAAUUCCUUGUCGGGUAAGUUCCGACCCGCACGAAAGGCGUAACGAUUUGGGCACUGUCUCAACAACAGACUGGGUGAAAUUGUAAUACCGGUGAAGAUGCCGGUUACCUGCGACAGGACGGAAAGACCCCAUGGAGCUUUACUGUAGCUUGACAUUGAGUCUCGGUGCUACAUGUACAGGAUAGGUGGGAGGCUAUGAAGCAUGGACGUCAGUCUGUGUGGAGCCAUCCUUGGGAUACCACCCUUGUAGUACUGGGAUUCUAACCAGCUGCCUUGAAUCAGGUAGUGGGACACUGUCAGGUGGACAGUUUGACUGGGGCGGUCGCCUCCUAAAGAGUAACGGAGGCGCUCAAAGGUUCUCUCAGUACGGUCGGAAAUCGUACGUAGAGUGUAAAGGCAGAAGAGAGCUUGAUUGCAAGACAUACAGGUCGAGCAAGGACGAAAGUCGGACUUAGUGAUCCGGUGGUACCGCAUGGAAGGGCCAUCGCUCAACGGAUAAAAGCUACCCUGGGGAUAACAGGCUGAUCUCCCCCAAGAGUCCACAUCGACGGGGAGGUUUGGCACCUCGAUGUCGGCUCAUCACAUCCUGGGGCUGUAGUAGGUCCCAAGGGUUGGGCUGUUCGCCCAUUAAAGUGGUACGCGAGCUGGGUUCAGAACGUCGUGAGACAGUUCGGUCCCUAUCCGUCGCAGGCGUAGGAAAUUUGAGGAGACCUGUCCUUAGUACGAGAGGACCGGGAUGGACGUACCGCUGGUGUACCAGUUGUUCUGCCAAGGGCAUAGCUGGGUAGCUAAGUACGGAAAGGAUAAGCGCUGAAAGCAUCUAAGCGCGAAGCCUACUUCGAGAUAAGAUUUCCCACCGUAAGGUUAAGACCCCAUGAAGACUACAUGGUUGAUAGGUCAGAGGUGGAAGUGUGGUAACAUAUGUAGCUUACUGAUACUAAUAGGUCGAGGACUUGACCAA